rnacentral:rRNA from 1 species
UGGGGAAUUUUGGACAAUGGGCGAAAGCCUGAUCCAGCAAUGCCGCGUGUGUGAAGAAGGCCUUCGGGUUGUAAACCGCUUUUGUCAGGGAAGAAAUCUUCUGAGUUAAUACCUCGGGAGGAUGACGGUACCUGAAGAAUAAGCACCGGCUAACUACGUGCCAGCAGCCGCGGUAAUACGUAGGGUGCAAGCGUUAAUCGGAAUUACUGGGCGUAAAGCGUGCGCAGGCGGUUUUGUAAGACAGAGGUGAAAUCCCCGGGCUCAACCUGGGAACUGCCUUUGUGACUGCAAGGCUUGAGUGCGGCAGAGGGGGAUGGAAUUCCGCGUGUAGCAGUGAAAUGCGUAGAUAUGCGGAGGAACACCGAUGGCGAAGGCAAUCCCCUGGGCCUGCACUGACGCUCAUGCACGAAAGCGUGGGGAGCAAACAGGAUUAGAUACCCUGGUAGUCCACGCCCUAAACGAUGUCAACUGGUUGUUGGGAAGGUUCCUUCUCAGUAACGUAGCUAACGCGUGAAGUUGACCGCCUGGGGAGUACGGCCGCAAGGUUGAAACUCAAAUGAAUUGACGGGGUCAUAGCUGUUUCCUG